GAGCACUUGUAAGCGUCUGAUUGAAGAUGAAUGAAAUACCAAAAAGUGAAACUACGCCUGACAAUUAUUGAACAGUUGUUUUUGUAGAUAAGUAUUAGUGGUAUGGAAGUGACAAUAAAUUUAUUGUAUAAAUUACAAUCGGGCAGAUCAUACAAAAAUGAUAACAAUGCAAUAAUUAACACGAACCCCCAAAAACAACAACCUUACCGAAGACCGAGUUGUUCAUGAGUUUGAAGAAGUUCUUCUCGAAAGCAGUCUUGGCUUGUUGUCGCAUUUUGGUGUUGAACUCAACGUAGGGUUUCAUGAAAGCCUCUUGUUGGAACUCUAAUAUUUUAUGUAUUUUUUACAAUUUUAGACCGAGUUGGAGAUACAGUUGCAGGUUGCGAUAUUGAAGUACAUAAUUCUGUUUGUUUUCUAAAGUGGUGCGGACUUGGAGAGAGCGGUGUUCUUGCAGUAGAAGAUGGUGUAGAUAGCUGACUGUAGCUGAGCUCGUUAUGAAGUUGUGAGAAGUCCUGUUGUAUGAUCUACAUUGCUUGUUGAAGAGGAGCUUUGGGUGUCGCUGCUUGGAGUUCGAAAGACAAUCAACGUCUGAGAGGGAAAUAUGUUGGUGCGCAAUUUAUACAACUUGUUUGAAUGUGGGCUUACAUCAACGACAGCAAGACUUUGCGAUCGACACUCUACUCUGUCAAAUGGAUAUUUAGCUGUGCUGUUUUUCAACAACUCUGCAUGAGCUACAAUAAGAGCUGGAUUGACUCUUACCUUCUUUGCUAUUCGCUUUUCGCUUGAUUUACAAUUUGCUGUGUGGGGGAAGUCACGUUCAAUGUCAAGUCACUGUUCUCAGCGGAAGCCUUAUGAGAUCAUCCGGGGAUAUCACCAUAUUGAAAACCUGCCAGAGGAUCGGUCCACGUCCAUGGUGCUCGGGAUGAGUCAUUGGAGGACGAAGAUCGGGUGUCCUUAUGCUGCCAUGAAAUGUCGUUUUUAUGAUGUCCAAUUAUGUUCAAAAAUAAACAACUUGGAGAAUGUG